rnacentral:lncRNA from 1 species
CCGGCCGCUGCUCGCUGAGGCGGCCGUUGGAGGGGCUGGAGCGCGUUCUGCGCCGUCCCGCCCCGCCCCGCCGCGCGGGGCGCGGCCAUUGGCUUCCAGGGGGCAGGGGCUGGCGCGGCGCGAUUACUUCCUCCUCAGCAUCAGAGGUGAGCUCUGGACUGUUGCAAUUUAUAGGCAUCAAUGCUUCAAGAUACAGAUAUGAGAACUCUCUGGAGUUCUAGAUCCAACUCCCUGGAGGACUCUCUGGAGUUCUAUAUUCCAACUUUCUAAGUGUGGACAACAUCUGGACAGAUAAGAACAGAUCCUCGAUCCUACGUUCUUCUGCUAGUUAAAACAGUCUAUUCCUGAGGUAAAACACAUUGACUGAUACAUGGUCCUUAGAAUAGGGACCA